rnacentral:rRNA from 1 species
AGAGUUUGAUCCUGGCUCAGGACGAACGCUGGCGGCGUGCCUAACACAUGCAAGUCGAGCGAAGUACUUGUAACAGAUUCCUUCGGGAUGAAGAUACAAGUAUCUUAGCGGCGGACGGGUGAGUAACGCGUGAGAAACCUGCCUUUCACAAAGGGAUAGCCUCGGGAAACUGGGAUUAAUACCUUAUGACACUUAAAUAUCGCAUGAUAUAUAAGUCAAAGCGUAAAGCGGUGAAAGAUGGUCUCGCGUCCCAUUAGUUAGUUGGUGAGAUAACAGCUCACCAAGACAUCGAUGGGUAGCCGGCCUGAGAGGGUGAACGGCCACACUGGAACUGAGACACGGUCCAGACUCCUACGGGAGGCAGCAGUGGGGAAUAUUGCACAAUGGAGGAAACUCUGAUGCAGCGACGCCGCGUGAAUGACGAAGGCCUUCGGGUCGUAAAAUUCUGUCCUUGGGGACGAUAAUGACGGUACCCAUGGAGGAAGCCCCGGCUAACUACGUGCCAGCAGCCGCGGUAAUACGUAGGGGGCGAGCGUUGUCCGGAAUUAUUGGGCGUAAAGGGUUCGCAGGCGGUCUUUUAAGUCAGAUGUUAAAUGCAUAGGCUCAACCUAUGAGUGCAUUUGAAACUGGAAGACUUGAGUUAAGGAGAGGAAAGUGGAAUUCCUAGUGUAGCGGUGAAAUGCGUAGAUAUUAGGAGGAAUACCAGUGGCGAAGGCGACUUUCUGGACUUUUUCUGACGCUGAGGAACGAAAGCAUGGGGAGCAAACAGGAUUAGAUACCCUGGUAGUCCAUGCCGUAAACGAUGAGUGCUAGGUGUUGGGGGUCAAACCUCGGUGCCGCAGCUAACGCAUUAAGCACUCCGCCUGGGGAGUACGUACGCAAGUAUGAAACUCAAAGGAAUUGACGGGGACCCGCACAAGCAGCGGAGCAUGUGGUUUAAUUCGAAGCAACGCGAAGAACCUUACCAGGGCUUGACAUGCCCCUGACCGCAUCAGAGAUGAUGUUUUACCUUCGGGUACAGGGGACACAGGUGGUGCAUGGUUGUCGUCAGCUCGUGUCGUGAGAUGUUGGGUUAAGUCCCGCAACGAGCGCAACCCCUGUUUUUAGUUGCUAACAAGUAAUGUUGAGCACUCUAAAGAGACUGCCGAUGAUAAAUCGGAGGAAGGUGGGGAUGACGUCAAAUCAUCAUGCCCUUUAUGAUUUGGGCUACAAACGUGCUACAAUGGUCGGUACAACGGGUCGCUAACCGGUAACGGGGCGCUAAUCCAAAAAACCGAUCUCAGUUCGGAUUGAGGGCUGCAACUCGCCCUCAUGAAGUUGGAGUUGCUAGUAAUCGCGAAUCAGCAUGUCGCGGUGAAUGCGUUCCCGGGUCUUGUACACACCGCCCGUCACACCAUGGAAGUUGGGGGCGCCCGAAGCCUGUGAUCCAACCAGUAAUGGAGGAAGCAGUCGAAGGUGAAAUCAAUGACUGGGGUGAAGUCGUAACAAGGUAACC